rnacentral:rRNA from 1 species
UCUUGGUCAGGACGAACGCUGGCGGCGUGCCUAAUACAUGCAAGUCGAACGGUCUUUCUAUGGAAGCUUGCUUCCACUGAGAGGAUAGUGGCGAACGGGUGAGUAACACGUGGGUAACCUGCCCAUAAGAGGGGGAUAACAUCCGGAAACGGGUGCUAAUACCGCAUAGUUUUCUUGAUCGCAUGAUCGGGAAGGAAAGACGGCCUUUGUGCUGUCGCUUAUGGAUGGACCCGCGGCGUAUUAGUUAGUUGGUGAGGUAACGGCUCACCAAGACGAUGAUACGUAGCCGACCUGAGAGGGUGAUCGGCCACAUUGGGACUGAGACACGGCCCAAACUCCUACGGGAGGCAGCAGUAGGGAAUCUUCCGCAAUGGACGAAAGUCUGACGGAGCAACGCCGCGUGAGUGAAGAAAGGUUUUCGGAUCGUAAAACUCUGUUGUCAGAGAAGAACAAGUUGGAGAGUAACUGCUCCAGCCUUGACGGUAUCUGACCAGAAAGCCACGGCUAACUACGUGCCAGCCGCUGC